rnacentral:rRNA from 1 species
UGAGGAAUAUUGGUCAAUGGACGCAAGUCUGAACCAGCCAAGUAGCGUGCAGGAUGACGGCCCUAUGGGUUGUAAACUGCUUUUAUAUGGGGAUAAAGUGGGGAACGUGUUCCCUUUUGCAGGUACCAUAUGAAUAAGGACCAGCUAAUUCCGUGCCAGCAGCCGCGGUAAUACGGAAGGUUCGGGCGUUAUCCAGAUUUAUUGGGUUUAAAGGGAGCGUAGGCCGUUUGGUAAGCGUGUUGUGAAAUGUAGGAGCUCAACUUCUAGAUUGCAGCGCGAACUGUCAGACUUGAGUGCGCACAACGUAGGCGGAAUUCAUGGUGUAGCGGUGAAAUGCUUAGAUAUCAUGAAGAACUCCGAUUGCGAAGGCAGCUUACGGGAGCGCAACUGACGCUGAAGCUCGAAGGUGCGGGUAUCGAACAGG